UGGUAGAAGUUCUCUUUGUCUAUCCAAUUUCCAGCAGCCCUCUAGCACUCCAAGCACGAAUUUCCUUUCAUUUCCUUGAUGUUCUAAGACUCCUAUAAAUAUGGGACAAGCCUUACCUCCCAUUCUACCUUAAGACAAGUGAGAAGUUCAUACUUACACAAUUUAGUCUUCCUUUGUUCAUUACUUGGCUUAGGUGAAGAAACCCUUCUAUUUCUCUUUUGAUUUUCUGUCCAGCAACCUUAGGGGAGCUAGAUAUACUUCUUACCUUGCUAUUUCUUGGCCUAGAUUUAUAGAACCAAGAUCCAAAACCAAGACAGCACUAGCAACACCAAAACCGGUCACUAAGGGCUUAAAGGGGGGCUUUUGUUUCAGAAUUUGUUUGAAAAAGGAGCUAAGAAACUAUACAAGGAGUGUUAAUAGACAAAGACAAGAGCUCAAGAGGUUUUAUAGCUAAGGACACAUAGUUUAUAUUUUGUUUGUAGUCUUCUGUGUUUAUAGCAUUUUAUGUUGAUAAGAUUGC